rnacentral:rRNA from 1 species
GACGUAGGGAGCAAGCGUUGUCCGGAUUUACUGGGCGUAAAGAGCGCGUAGGCGGCUCUGUAAGUGUGAAGUGAAAUCCCUAGGGCUCAACCCAGGAACUGCUUCGCAUACUGCAAAGCUUGAGGGUUGGAGAGGUGGAUGGAAUUCGUGGUGUAGCGGUGAAAUGCGUUGAUAUCACGAGGAACACCCGUGGCGAAGGCGGUCCACUGGCCAACAUCUGACGCUGAGGCGCGAAAGCGUGGGUAGCAAACAGG